rnacentral:rRNA from 1 species
AUUGAACGCUGGCGGCAGGCCUAACACAUGCAAGUCGAGCGAGCGGCGGACGGGUGGGUAAUGUAUGGGCAACUGCCUGAUGGAGGGGGAUAACUACUGGAAACGGUAGCUAAUACCGCAUACCAUCGGUUGAACCCAUAUGGGAUUAGCUGGUAGGUGAGGUAACGGCUCACCUAGGCGACGAUCCCUAGCUGGUCUGAGAGGAUGAUCAGCCAAACUGGGACUGAGACACGGCCCAGACUCCUACGGGAGGCAGCAGUGGGGAAUAUUGCACAAUGGGCGCAAGCCUGAUGCAGCCAUGCCGCGUGUAUGAAGAAGGCCUUCGGGUUGUAAAGUACUUUCAGUCGGGAGGCGUUACCGACAGAAGAAGCACCGGCUAACUCCGUGCCAGCAGCCGCGGUAAUAC